rnacentral:tRNA from 1 species
AAGAAAGACAUACUGGGUAUGGGGUUGGCUUGAAACCGAUUUUGGGGGGUUCGAUUCCUUCCUUUCUUG